rnacentral:rRNA from 1 species
CCGACCGUGACAAACUUAGCCACCCUCUCUCUCUUCCCCCUCUGCCCCGCUCGUGUAGCUUCUGCUACCGGACGCUACAGCGGCGGCUGCUCGGUGGGCGGUAGGGGUGGCGUGAGCUGUACCGGGGGCGGCAGACGGGGCAGGUCCUCGGGGCGCGCUGGCUGUUGAGGGGGCGGCAGACGUGGCAGGCCCUCGAGGCGCGUCCGCUGCGCGGCAGGCGGUACCCGUCCCCGGGGCUAGAGACGCGGCCGCUGUGACUCGUACGCCGUGUGCUAUCUUACUUCCCGAACGUGGGAUCAACUCUACCGGCUUGAAGAUCAGACCUUCUGGUACGUACGAAGAAGAAAAAAGAGUCAGUCGAAACCCUCGAAAAUUCGUUUCUAUGUUUAGGACUGGAAAACCUCUGUUUGUUGUCAUCGGUUCUUGUACUAAGUCCCCUACUGUAGUACUUACUGUUUGUACUUGUUUCAUAUCACCUAGACUGUCUUUGUCUGCGUAGACUGCCGUACGACAAACUGCCGAACUCUUCUUAAAAUCUACUUUCUGUUCUCUCCUUCGUCCUUUCCUCACGAAACUUUCUCUUUUCCUUGUUCUCCUCUUCCGGUCUCCUUCCUUUUGGGUUUGCUGUGUAAUUGUUUCUUUCUCGUUGACGUAUGUCGUCUAAAUCGUAACCUAUAAAGCGUUUCUAACAACUACAACACACGUUUUCGUUAGUAUCCUACCUCCAACAAUCCUUGCCACCAAAACCUAUGAACGAACUCGAUCUACUAACAAUACAAGGUGCCGGUAAGCGUGUCACCCAGCGCCUGUUGUAUAGGUGUUUUCUACUUCGUUAACAUGAACCACCCUUUAGUUAAGGAGAGUUGGGACUUCGGCAUAGUAAUCAAGAACCAUAUGGUCGUCCGUCUUGUUUCUAGUGUCACGAUCUGCUCCUCAAACCGUUUCGCCUCAAAGAUAGUGACAAACCCGAUUGUCUAGAAGGUAGGUAUUCAAAGAAGCCCUUGUUCUAAUAUUUACUUCUCGACGGACUGCUGCAAAUAGAAGCGACGAAGAACUGACAGCGUGAUCGUUGGAAGGACACAGGGUGUAGGUUGUGUUUCGGUUCGUGGUUUAUAAACCCUCGUGAACACCUACACAGUUUCAGUUUUCUAGAACUAACCACGAGAAAACAGGUAUGUACCUUAUAGCGGAUACAGUUCUUCAUGGUUUGUCUGUUCGACUUCGUCUUUGCCUAUUGUUGGUGAAACCCUCCGACGUAAAUAGUCGAUCGUCAAGCCACAGAUCUGAAGUUGUUAAAACCUAGUUAUUGUUAAGGUGGUCGUGAUGGGUCCCAAACAAAAACCUUUCCUGUUUCGUAAUUUGUAAAGUCACUAUACGAUUAACCCUUUCUACCUAAUAUACCUCGAGAAGUUUAUUUUCUACUCCGUCUUUGAACGAUACGUCUUUGACUGCCACGUACCCGUUCGUGGCGGUUCUUGAGUUUGUAGGUUUUUCGAGAUGUUUCCCAGAAUCCGUUGAGAAAAAGUCUAUUCUAGUUUCUUCUAUAUAAGGAGUUAAAGGUCCUCGCACAUUUUCUAGUUUUGGACUGGUGAACAGACUAUCGUUUUGUUCACAACGACCUAUGAAACUUGUAACAGAGAAGAAGAAAAUUACCGAGAGUUGUAUGUCUCUUCAAUCUCAGUAGGCUCGUGAACAUGAACUGUAGGCUGUUUCUAUUAACCAGACCGUCAUGAUAAUCUCAACUAAGAUUACCCUAACUUUAACCGUCACCAUACAAUAAUGUCGUAAAAAAGAACAAGAUUAAGUACAACACAAAAGACAUUAUUCUGGGGGUGAUAUAAACACCCUCUAGCUUCUCCGUCCUUCUUCUCUUACUUCUGCUCAUGUGUCGUCAGUUAUUGAAGUUGUUCAUUCCUACAUAACAACGUUCUAUUUUAUUUCGUUUCGUGUGGACUUCAACUGUGUGUUCCUCAGUUUCGACUUAACGUUGGUCAUGGUACCUUACCAGGAUAUUUACUCGUGUUUGUAGUUCUACUUUACCUUCAUUUAAGACUUUAACCAUUUCCUACAUGUGUAUAUCAACCUGUUGGCCACGCACGACUUACGUAACGUGACGUUGUUGUUCCUCUUUCGUACUUGUUCCAACCGGGACGAUUUGUGUUGGUUCUGUGUUUAUACAACCUACCUGUAUCGUUGUAGGAGCUCGCGUCACAGUUACGAACAGGAUAACUUUAUCUUCGUGGUGUCUUUUCGAGAUCUGACUUGAUGUACGAUAAUAGUCGAUCUAACCGUUUUCGUCACUACUCGUGUUGUGUUCAAUUGUUAAGUUUCCUUCAUAGGUGGUCUCUACAUGUCUGUUGUAAGUGUUCCAAUCUUGUAUUAUGACAAUUGUUGUUAUUUUGUGUCGUAACGUAUCUGUGAUCAUGGUACCUCGUUGCUUUACUCUUCGUUCGUCACCAAAAACUUACACACCUUGUAGUUUUGUUGUAACUGUUUCUAGUUUUGUGAUGCUUAUUACAGUCGCUAAUGUUCUUCGCGCAACUUGAACUAUAUCUAUAGUUGUAUCGUGAUAGUUUGUUGCUAUUCGUUGUUGUACAGUUUCUCAAUGUCCUGUGAAACGUAGGUAAUCUAUAACGUUCCGUUUUCAUGAAGAAGUGUCUACUACGCUGUGGAUCGACGUCUUAAGAGGGUCUGGUACUACUAACACCCUUAGUUUAUCAUCUCGGUCUUAACACCGCGGGUAAUCUCUACUUGAGCCUUCUUAUAUUAAGAGUUUAUCUCCUUCGUUUCUUUUUUAUAGGUACGUUACGUUCGUUCCUACUCGUUCUUCACGUUCCUCUAAGGAGGUAUGUCACACGCGUCUCUGUUGGGCACAGGUGUCCGUAAACGUUCAUGUCUCUGAAAGAAGGUGUCAAACUUCUUUUCCUAUCGUAGUAGUUGAGCUGUAGCGGACAACGUGCGUACAGUGUGUGAACCCUGUCUCGUUGUUGUACGAUGAGGGGUUACCCGUUUACCUUGUUACUCUUGCGACUUUCAGGAUGUGUUUUCGUGUUCUUCUCUAUAAGUUGUUGUUGUUAAAAUCCCUUCUCCGAAAAAAGUCUACUCAAACUACUUUUACUACUUGUUCCGUGAUUUGUGGUUGGUUAGGGACACAGAGGCCUACAAGUUCAAAACCCCCUUUCUAGUAAGUUACCAAGUACGAGAUCAUACCAUUUGUGCCGCCUGUUAAAUAUGUUGUGCUUCGAUAGUAAUCCGUGAAGUAGUUCACCAUUUCUCUUAAACGGAGGUUUUUCCUAUUGUGUGGGUUCGUUCACCGAGAGGAGUGGUAUACUAGUGUUGCUCUCUCCUAGAGAAGUCGGUGUACUCUAUCUCGAUGUGUCCCCGUAUCACCGUGAUUCGUUUCAACUUGGAGUGUCUUCGUUUCACCGACACAACUAACUGUUUUGUUCGGAAAAGGAACCUGUUGAACCGCUAAGUAAACCACACUCACCAGUGCACCUUCGUAUACAAAAGUUGCAAAAGACAGCCUACGAGAAAGCUCUCUUAGUAGGUUCCUCUAGUUUUUGUGUGAUGAAGAAGUGAUGUGAUCCACUAAUAAAAGAACUUUUAACCUUUAGACUUCUUCCUUCCUCCCUUUACUUCUCUUUUUGUGAAUCUUCGAAGUUACCUCGACCCUUUCGUAACGGAGAUGUGUUUUCACUAGCAUAGAAGAAAGGCAGUCAUGUACUACUCGUGACCAAGAACAAGCAACAACUGUAAUAUCGUUCUUUCAAACAGAAGGAUCUAAGUAUAAUACUUCCCUUGUGUGGUAAGGUGUAGCCCUAGUCUCUAAACUACUAUUUGUUAAAGUAUUUUUGUACCCUUCUAAGAUUAGACUCUCCUUACUCAAAGUCUUUCAAACCACAUCUCAUGGCUUUGUACGGUUUCGUUUAGCCUUCGCUGCGAACACCCUAAAAACGAGAAUUGACCUACGUUUGAACCCGAAGCGCUUUAGGAUACGUCGCUGUCAAGUGUUACUUGCUGCAUCGUUUGCGUUCCCAGUCUAAGCGACAACUGUAAGAUAAAUCAUAAGUGUUGUGUCUCCUAGUUCCGUUUUAUGAGCAGUUCUUGAAGCGUACCAUUUAACUUCCAGUUCCUCCGGUUGGUUGACGUUGUAAGAGACAUUACCUACCUCCUUAUGAUGUUAUUUCCUGAAAUCGUUCUACUAGUUUUUGUUAGUGUUUUCAAUUUGUUGUAGUGUUUCACAGGCUACAUGUACCUCCUUGCUAUACAAAAAAAAGAAAAAGUAAACUUUCGUUUAGGUUCAACAUAUCGUCACAGCAUCUUUGACCAGUAAUUGGUCUUUUUUUAAACCUUACAGGGUAAAACAAAAGUCUAGUUAUAACUUUGUAGCCAAAAUCUCACAAGAAAAAGAUUAAACAAAAUACGAAAAUUCAGACUAAUAAAAGUCAUAGGGAGAAAAAGAUUUUUUUUAAUACAGCAGAUAUCGCCGUGAUUGCUCUUGUAAAAAAACGGGAACAAGAAAACAAAGAUAGUAAAGGGGGGUUGUAAAGAAACCACGUCCUAAAGUUUUAAGAAACCGUGUGCCUUAGAUGAAGAUGUGGCGUUCGCUUUUUCACCUACUUUUUUAAAGUUCCUUGGAUGACACAAUUCC